CAGUAGCCGCGGUAAUACGUAGGGGGCAGGCGUUAUCCGGAUUUACUGGGUGUAAAGGGAGCGUAGACGGAAUGGCAAGUCUGAAGUGAAAUGCCCGGGCUCAACCCGGGAACUGCUUUGGAAACUGUCGAUCUGGAGUGUUGGAGAGGUAAGUGGAAUUCCUGGUGUAGCGGUGAAAUGCGUAGAGAUCAGGAAGAACACCGGAGGCGAAGGCGGCUUACUGGACAAAGACUGACGUUGAGGCUCGAAAGCGUGGGAAGCAAACAGGAUUAGAUACCCCCGUAGUCCCUGUCUCUUAUAC
rnacentral:rRNA from 1 species